GCACGAAAGGCGUAACGAUUUGGGCACUGUCUCAACGAGAGACUCGGUGAAAUCAUAGUACCUGUGAAGAUGCAGGUUACCCGCGACAGGACGGAAAGACCCCGUGGAGCUUUACUGUAGCCUGAUAUUGAAAUUCGGCACAGCUUGUACAGGAUAGGUAGGAGCCUUUGAAACGUGAGCGCUAGCUUACGUGGAGGCGUUGGUGGGAUACUACCCUAGCUGUGUUGGCUUUCUAACCCGCACCACUUAUCGUGGUGGGAGACAGUGUCAGGCGGGCAGUUUGACUGGGGCGGUCGCCUCCUAAAAGGUAACGGAGGCGCUCAAAGGUUCCCUCAGAAUGGUUGGAAAUCAUUCAUAGAGUGUAAAGGCAUAAGGGAGCUUGACUGCGAGACCUACAAGUCGAGCAGGGUCGAAAGACGGACUUAGUGAUCCGGUGGUUCCGCAUGGAAGGGCCAUCGCUCAACGGAUAAAAGCUACCCCGGGGAUAACAGGCUUAUCUCCCCCAAGAGUUCACAUCGACGGGGAGGUUUGGCACCUCGAUGUCGGCUCAUCGCAUCCUGGGGCUGUAGUCGGUCCCAAGGGUUGGGCUGUUCGCCCAUUAAAGCGGUACGCGAGCUGGGUUCAGAACGUCGUGAGACAGUUCGGUCCCUAUCCGUCGUGGGCGUAGGAAAUUUGAGAGGAGCUGUCCUUAGUACGAGAGGACCGGGAUGGACAUACCUCUGGUGUACCAGUUGUCGUGCCAACGGCAUAGCUGGGUAGCUAUGUAUGGACGGGAUAAGUGCUGAAAGCAUCUAAGCAUGAAGCCCCCCUCAAGAUGAGAUUUCCCAACUUCGGUUAUAAGAUCCCUCAGAGAUGAUGAGGUUAAUAGGUUCGAGGUGGAAGCGUGGUGACACGUGGAGCUGACGAAUACUAAUCGAUCGAAGACUUAAUCAAUUU
rnacentral:rRNA from 1 species